CCUACGGGAGGCAGCAGUCGAGAAUCUUUCGCAAUGGACGAAAGUCUGACGAAGCGACGCCGUGUGAACGAAGAAGGCCUUCGGGUUGUAAAGUUCUUUCGCCUGGGAACAAGAGAAAAGGGAUAAUACCCCUUUGAUUUGAGGGUACUAGGUAAAGAAGCACCGGCUAACUCCGUGCCAGCAGCUGCGGUAAUACGGAGGGUGCAAGCAUUAAUCGGAAUUAUUGGGCGUAAAGGGCGCGUAGGCGGAAUUGUAAGUCAGAUGUGAAAUACCGAGGCUUAACCUCGGUGCUGCAUUUGAAACUACAAAUCUUGAGGGUAGACGGAGAAAACGGAAUUCCACGUGUAGCGGUGAAAUGCGUGGAUAUGUGGAAGAACACCUGUGGCGAAAGCGGUUUUCUAGUUUAUACCUGACGCUGAGGCGCGAGAGCAAGGGGAGCAAACAGGAUUAGAUACCCCAGUAGUCC
rnacentral:rRNA from 1 species